AUUGAACGCUGGCGGCAGGCCUAACACAUGCAAGUCGAGCGAGCGGCGGACGGGUGAGUAAUGUCUGGGAAACUGCCUGAUGGAGGGGGAUAACUACUGGAAACGGUAGCUAAUACCGCAUACCAUCAGAUGCGCCCAGAUGGGAUUAGCUAGUAGGUGGGGUAACGGCUCACCUAGGCGACGAUCCCUAGCUGGUCUGAGAGGAUGACCAGCCACACUGGGACUGAUGCACGGUCCAGACUCCUACGUGAGGCAGCAGUGGGGAAUAUUGCACAAGGGUCGCAAUCCUGAUGCAGCCAUGCCGCGUGUGUGAAGAAGGCCUUCGGGUUGUAAAGUACUUUCAGCGAGGAGGCGUUACUCACAGAAGAAGCACCGGCUAACUCCGUGCCAGCAGCCGCGGUAAUAC
rnacentral:rRNA from 1 species